CCCAUCUGUGUUUAUUUGCAACAAGAAGCAUAAAUCCUGGAGAAGAGAUUACAUACAAUUACGGUGACUCUGAGUGGCCAUGGAGAUGCAAGAUAGUCAAUGAAAGAGACCAACUGCAUCCCCAAGAGCAGACGUCCAACACAAUAUCUGAGGCUGUUCCUGCACAAGAAGCUUCUAACAGUGGCAUAGUGCCUGCCCUGCCUCCUGUUAUAGAGAUGGAACCGGUAUAAUUUUAUUCAUCUUUUUAUUAUAACAUGUUU